AUUUCUAGUGAAACUGAGCUGAUACAAUAACUACAUCAUAAUCUAACACUAUGCUCCAGCACCAGCAAUUUCCAUUGGAUUUAAGGGAAUCUAAACUAUAUACACAGUACAUUGCAACAAAUAGUAACUUCAACAACACAGAUGUGUAUAAAAACAAGGCUAUUCAAUAGAAUAGGGUACCACAAAAGAGACUAACAGGCAAUGAUUAAAACAAAAACUUACACAUACUUUAACAACUAAUGAUGUAGUUUAACCAAAAUAAAUUGGGAGUAAAAAAGUACAUGGAUACAGCCAUGGGUUAUGUCAAAACUCAAAACAGCACACCAUAUUCCUUUGUUUCAGACAAAAGGGCCAGUCAGCUCUUUUACUUGUUAUUUCGCACGCUAAGCACAAUAAACUCCCAACUCCAACAACAACAAUGAUCUUCGUUUUCUUUCCCUUCUUCCUUAACUAGCGGCCCUUAUCUAUCACUUUUCAGGUUUGGUCUUUCCUGCCUACUUCUUUCU
rnacentral:lncRNA from 1 species